rnacentral:rRNA from 1 species
GUCUAUGGCCAUGCCACUCUGAACAUGCCCGAUCUCAUCUGAUCUCAGAAGCUAAGCAGGGUCAGGCCUGGUUAGUACUUGGAUAGGAGACCACCUAGGAAUACUAGGUGCUGUAGGCA